rnacentral:rRNA from 1 species
GAUGAACGCUAGCUACAGGCUUAACACAUGCAAGUCGCGGGGCAGCAUGGGGGUUGCUUGCAAUCCCCGAUGGCGACCGGCGCACGGGUGAGUAACGCGUAUCCAACCUGCCCUUCACCACGGGAUAACCCGGCGAAAGUCGGACUAAUACCGUAUGUUGUCCAUUGACGGCAUCCGAUUUGGACGAAAGGUUUGGCGGUGAAGGAUGGGGAUGCGUCCGAUUAGCUGGACGGCGGGGUGACGGCCCACCGUGGCGAGGAUCGGUAGGGGUUCUGAGAGGAAGGGCCCCCACACUGGAACUGAGACACGGUCCAGACGCCUACGGGAGGAAGCAGUGAGGAAUAGUGGUCAAUGGGCGUAAGCCUGAACCAGCCAAGUAGCGUGCAGGAUGACGGCCCUAGGGGUUGUAAACUGCUGUUAGGCGGGGAGAAAGUGGCCCACGUGUGGGUUUUUGCAGGUACCGCAUGAAUAAGGACCGGCUAAUUCCGUG